UAGACCUGUUCUACAUGACUAGUAUAGAAGUUCAACAUGACUAGUAUAGAAUAUAGACCUGUUCAACAUGACUAGUAUAGAAUAUAGACCUGUUCUACAUGACUAGUAUAGAAGUUCAACAUGACUAGUAUAGAAGUUCAACAUGACUAGUAUAGAAUAUAGAUAGAAAUAUAACACUACUAUUACUAGUUAUCUGUAGAAACCAAUUAGGAAGUUGUAUUAUUUAAUGAACUAACACUUUCUAUUUGUUCCUAGCUUCUACAACUGGGAGACCCAGGUGUCCACGUCCAAUGUCAGCGCUAACUACCAGGUGAUCGCUGAGAACUCCAGUGGUCUGCUUUUUAAGAACAAGACAGACAGAAAGAUUCUCAACGUGGACCCUAAGGCCUCACCUGGAGACAACUCGUCCAGGACGCCCCUCCAGUCUGAACUCUACAGCCAAGUCGUCAUCUAUGACCACAUCACCAGGAGGACCUAGCCAAUCACCUCUCACUGUCUCCUCCCUGCUACCACCACCUCACACUGCUAUUAAACACAUACUGGAAGCCUCUAGUGUGAUGUAAUAAAGGUUGUCCCCCCCAUCAA